GACGAACGCUGGCGGCGUGCUUAAUACAUGCAAGUCGAACGGAAAGGCCCUGCUCUUGUUGGGUGCUCGAGUGGCGAACGGGUGAGUAACACGCGAGGAACCUGCCCUUGUCUUUGUGAUAACUUCAGGAAACUGGGGCUAAUACCGGAUAGAAUCUCCUGCUGCACGUGGGGCGUUGGAAAGUUACGGCGUUGCGGGAUGGACUCGCUGCUUAUCAGCUUGUUGGUGUGGUAGUGGCUUACCAAGGCUUUGACGGGUAGCCGGCCUGAGAGGGUGGCCGGGCACAUUGGUACUGAGAUAGGGACCAGAAUCGUACGGGACGCAGUAGUCGAGAGUAUUGCGGAGUGAGCCGAAGCCAGAGGCAGCAGCGCCGGGUGCGGAAUGACGGGCUUCGAGUUAUAAACCACUUUGUAAUGUGACAAGGCGUGCGUGACGGUAAUGGGUAAAGAAGCACCGGCUAACUACGUG
rnacentral:rRNA from 1 species